AGAAAGAGAACAUAAUGUCAGAGAGAGGGUGAGGAAUGGAGGCCGUCCAGAUAUUUCACAAUGAACAGAAGAGGAGUUACUAAUUUAGACGAAGUUUCAGCAUCACUGCUCAGGAAACGGGGGCUUGCAGCUACCUGCUGAAACUAUCACAUGUCAGUGACCCAUAUCGCAUACUGUACUGAGUCACACGGAAAGUCAGGAUGAUGGCAUUGCUGGCUAAGCCAGCAUUUAUUGUCCAUUGCUGAGGGCAGUUAAGAGUUCAACCACAUUCCUGUGGGUCUGGAGUCACAUAUAGGCCAGACCAGAUGCUGCCAGACCUGCUGAAUUUCUCCUGCAUUCUCUGCUUUUGUUUCAGAUUUCAUGUAUCUGUAGUACUCUGUUUUUAUACUUACUGAAAACUGUUAACAUUUAUUAAUAGUGGUGCAAAUCAAAUCUUAUUAGAAACACACACCUUAUUUUUGAAAAAUAAACUGUUGGGAAUGUG